AAAUACAUUUGUAUGUGUCAUGUGGGGUUGUGUCUGGGAAAUGUUUUAUAGAAUUGUUUACUUCUAUCCAGGUUUCUUUUUUCCAAAAUGUAUUGCAUAGGUGUUGAUCCUUGACCCGCAGCAAAAGUGAAGAUUUGGGCUAUAAUCACGUUGAAAUUCUGCCUUGACAGUUUUGUGGAACAAGGGCUCUUUUGGUUGAAUUUGAAAUAACUCCUAUGACUUGAAAUAGCCUGCUGUAUGUAGGGCUGUAGUGUAACUAUUUCUGUAGAGCGCAUGGUAGUUCCAAUAGACAAAGCCUUUAAAGGGGCCAGAAGCAUAGGCAUACCACACAGUUACCAUACAACAAGGUUUCAGUGUAGAACCUGACCCAGGCUCCAGGCGCGGCUUCUUAGCAGGGGCCUCUCACUUAUCCCUAGCUCUGGCUCCAAAUGCCAGGGGGAAAAACUGUAGGGGAUCUGGGCCACUACCCAAGGUUUCAUCUCAAGAGCACAAACAUAGAGGAGAGUUCCAGAAUGUAUUUGAGUAUCUUCCUUUUCUGCUUUUUUGCUCUCUUCCUUCUCCAGAUGCCCUUGCAUUUUUGUUGUCUUCUCUUUUGUGAGUUCGUAUCUAUCCUAGUGUGAAAAACGCUUGGACUGGUUGAAGACAACAAAACUGAGCCCCACCGCACUGCCUCAGCUCCUGCAGUAGUCUAGCAGAGGCUUUGUGCAACACAUUAUAGCUGGAUCGUUAAGCACUUCAGGCAGGAUUGAGGGAGUUGAGGCGCUCAGGUUAUUUUUGUCUAUAAUAUACAAAAUAGAUUUAAGUUGGCCAGGUAAAUUAUCGAUUUUUGAACAACUUUUCUCUUUAGAUUUAUUUUAUUUGUAUGAGUGUUUUGCCUACGUGUCUGUGAGUACAGCCACAUACAUGUCUGGUGGAUACAGAGUUCAGGAGAGGGCAUUUGAUCCCUUGCACUGGAGUUAUAGACAAUUUGAGAGGUGCCAUGUGGGCACUGGAAGUCUUUCCAGCCCCAGAAUAACUUUUCUUUAGGAGUAAUUAACACCUAAUUUAUACUCUCGGUUAUUUUCAAUUGCCUACUGCAUUUAUUCCAAAAUAGAAACACAUUUAACAGAAAUCAAAGUCAUUAGCUCAAGUUAUUUAACAAGAAGUUGAUAUUAAACUUUAGCAUCUGUUUUUGUCUUCAUCAUUUUUCUCCUGUCUAAUGACUAAUGUGGUUGCUGAGUUUUGAGAUGUGGGCAAGAUUAAUUUUUAUUUAGUUAUUGGGUUUUUUUUAAUUAUUGGAUUUUCUGUAAAACAUGUUUUAAUAUUGAAGCUUAACUGCCCAUAAGAAGUUUUUGAAUAUAUUUUAACUUAAAAAGUAUAAAAGUAAUAUUAACAAAGGCUUAAAAAUCUCUAAUAAGGUCUGUUACAUAUGAGUUGUGAGUACAUUUCAUCUGUUGAUAUGUGAAGGUUCAAUUUCUGAUCCUUAUUCAACAGGCUUAAGGAAGACUUGAGUCACUAAGGCAAAUAUGUCCAGGUUUGUUGCUGAGAUGUGGUUCGGGUAACAGUGAAGAAUGCUAUGAUUUCAGUGAUUUUCAUUUCGUGUAGCACAACAAAUAAGCUUGAAGGCUAUUUAGAUGUCUCAUUUGUUAUUUAUUUAAUGGUGUGUGUGUGUGUGUGUGUGCUCAUGUGAGUGUGGACAUAAAGGUGUGCACACAUGUGUGUAUAUGUGGAGACCAGGGAUUGAUGGCCAGGGAGGGAUCUCUUUUCUUGAUCACUCUUCAUCUGUCUGUAUGUUUUAGACAGGGUCUCUCACCCAAGUUGAAGCUCAUCAACUCAGCCAAGUGUGUGCUACCAUGCCAGGCUUUUUACAUGUUUCUGGGGGAUACAAACUCCAGUCCUCAUGAGCAUGACAGGCAAUCCGUGGUAUACCUCCUCAGCCCUUUUCUCUUUGUGUCUCAAAAAAACAAAUGUUUUCACAUAAUUGAAAAAUGAUCAAAAUUUUUCUGUUUGUUUUUUGAAUACUGUUUUACAGUUUUUAAAAAUAAUUCCUAAAAUGAUCCAUAGCAUUUGGCGAAAAAUAAUCUAUGACGUUGAAUGUUUUUGCUGUUCUACUUAAAAUCAUUAACCAGGUAUUUAUCAUAGUUGCUGAAGUUUUACAGCUUAUUUUUGAAUCAUUUUUAUGUUAAUCCAUUCUAAAGAAGAUGGAACAAUUUUAGUUUACUUCUUAGCAGGUGGUAUUGUAGUCAGGUUUCUAUUAUUGUGAUAAACACUGUGACCAAAAGCAUUCUGGGAAGGAAAGGAUAUAUUUCUUUUUAUAGCUUAAUGUCCAUCACUGAAGGUAGUCACAGCAGGACCUCAAAAGCAGGAACCUGGUUACAGGAACUGAAGGAAAGGCCACAAAGAUGGCUUCUUACUAACUUGUUCCCUAUGGCUUUCUCAGCCAGCCAGCCUGCUUGCUUGCUUGCUUGCUUGCUUCCUUCUUUCCUUCCUUCCUUCCUUCCUUCCUUCCUUCCUUCCUUCCUUCCUUUCUAGAUUUAUUUAUUAUUAUACAUAAGUACACUGUAGAUUUCUAAAGGCAAGCCAGGAGAGGGCAUCAGAUCUCAUUACGGGUGGUUGUGAGCCACCAUGUGGUUGCUGGGAUUUGAACUCAGGACCUCCGGAAGAGCAGUCAGUGCUCUUACCUGCUGAGCCAUCUCACUAGCCCUCAGCCUUCUUUCUUAUUGCAACCUAGGACCUCCAGCAAAUAGCACUGUCCACAGUAGUAGUCUGGGCCCUCCCACAUCAAUCAUAAGUCAAUAAAAUACCCUCCACAGACUUGACUAUAGGCCAGUAUGAUGGAGACAUUUUUUUUCUCAUGUUUCCUCUUUCCCAGAAGACCCUAGCUUGUGUCAAGUUAACCACCUAAGCAUAACAGGUACAAAAUACUACUUAUUGUUCAAUAUCUUAUAUUGAAUUUAAUCAUAUUCUUGUAUACAAAGAGUAGUACUAGGAAAUUGUUUCAUUUUACAUAAAAUAGCAACUGGUAUAAAGUUAUGUUAUCAAAGUUCAUUUGGCUACUUUUUUAUUCUUUAUUACAUAAUUUGGUUUUGGUAACCAGUUAGAGGAUAUAUUUUUUCUUUCUGUCAUACUUGUAUCUUGAUGAUUCUUUAAGUUUUUUUAAUCUUAAGAUAUUCUUACUUUCUUUCAAUUAAAAAAUUAGAACAUUUGCAAAAUGUAAGAAGUUUCUCUUGUAAACAGUUUCAUAUUUAAUACAGUUAUGGAUGUGUGUGUGUCAAAAUAGAGAUCAAGGAAAAAGGGUCAUUAAAUUUUGUGUUGAUAUCUCAUCAUGUCUAGAAUUCGGUAGUGUUGAUGAGUUGUAUGUGUUUUAAGGUGCACGUUGAAGGUUUGCUUACUUAUAUGUGCUAGGAUCAGGAUGAGUUCUCAUACAAGAGAGGGUGAGAGAUCUAUUAACUAACCAGUGUUAGAAUAUCUAAUAUAUAAUGUAGAAAUACGUGUGUGUGUGUGUGUGUGUGUGUGUGUGUGUGUGUGUGUGUGUGUUUGGUGUACAGGCUUGGGUCUUGUGUCUUAAAUUGUAUUUUUUCUUUGAGUAAAAGUGUCCUUAAUAUAUGUCCAUUGGUUUAUGCUAGUUCUGCAUGAACAGGUACGUGGCUCAGAGCAGCUCCUCAGUUUAUUGUAAUUGGCUCUGGGAAGCUGGAAUGAAGGAUUGCUUAUUAUUCACUGAAUUUCCUUUUGAACUGGUCUUGUUACAAAGGUUUUCAUAAAUACAAAUGACCAGAUAAAUUUUCAGGAUUCCUGGGCUCAAUGGUCUCUGAAGGUAGAGUCAGUGGUUUUACCUCUGCAGGAAAAGAUGGCUCCAUUCAUUUGGCAUGUUCUAGUAGCUUUACCCUGCUGUUGCCAGUUUACUGACCUCUAAUAAUGUCCAUAUAUGACACAAUGUUAUAUUUAUUUUAUUAAAUAUUUUUAUUGCAUCUACUUCCAGGAGUUGAUUCUUACCUUCCAUUAUGUUGGUCCUGGGGAUCAAACUCUGGUUGUCAGAUUUGGUAGCAAGC
rnacentral:lncRNA from 1 species